rnacentral:rRNA from 1 species
GUCUAAAGGGUCUGUAGCCGGCCGGAUAAGUCUCUUGAGAAAUCUGGCAGCUUAACUGUCAGGCUUUCAGGAGAUACUGUCUGGCUCGAGGCCGGGAGAGGUGAGAGGUACUUCAGGGGUAGGGGUGAAAUCUUGUAAUCCUUGAAGGACCACCAGUGGCGAAGGCGUCUCACCAGAACGGACCUGACGGCAAGGGACGAAAGCUAGGGGCACGAACCGGAUUAGAUACCCGGGUAGUCCUAGCCGUAAACGAUACUCGCUAGGUGUCGGCCACGGUGCGACCGUUGUCGGUGCCGUAGGGAAGCCGUGAAGCGAGCCACCUGGGAAGUACGGCCGCAAGGCUGAAACUUAAAGGAAUUGGCGGGGGAGCACCACAACGGGUGGAGCUUGCGGUUUAAUUGGAUUCAACGCCGGAAAUCUUACCGGGACCGACAGCAAUAUGAAGGCCAGGCUGAAGACUUUGCCGGAUUAGCUGAGAGGUGGUGCAUGGCCGUCGUCAGUUCGUACUGUGAAGCAUCCUGUUAAGUCAGGCAACGAGCGAGACCCA